rnacentral:rRNA from 6 species
AAAUUGAAGAGUUUGAUCAUGGCUCAGAUUGAACGCUGGCGGCAGGCCUAACACAUGCAAGUCGAACGGUAACAGGAAGCAGCUUGCUGCUUUGCUGACGAGUGGCGGACGGGUGAGUAAUGUCUGGGAAACUG